rnacentral:lncRNA from 1 species
GUGCCCAGGCCAGACUGUCGCCUCCAGCUCUGAUCCACCGGGCCACCCUGGCCCUUGGACCUGCGGCCCUGUGCCAAGGAGGCAGGGCCAGCACUAAUUAUUAUCCCCAUAUUUAACAAAAUUCACCAACUGAGUCCUUGUCUGGGAGAGUGAGGAUGGACAAGCCAACUAUCGUAAAGUGAGCAGCAAUUACUCGGACAGGCCCAGACGGGCUCCAAGCAGACACCAGGACCAGACUCCUUACGAGAAGAGGAAGGGACACCAGGAGUGAGCACACGGGGAAAGGCCACGUGAGGACACAGGGAGAAAGCAGCCGUCUACAUGCCAAGCAGAGAGGCCUCCGGAGAAACCAACCUGCCUUGAUCUUGGACUUCCAGCCUCCAGGACUGUGAGGAAUAAAUACCUGUUGUUUAAGCUCCCAGCCUGUGGCACUUUGUGACGGUAUCCCCAGCUGACUAAUGCAGCUGGAAAGUAAAGAAGUGCUAAAAACCAAACCAGGGCCAGCCCGGUGGCUUAGUGGUUAAGUUUGGCACACUGUGCUUCAGUGGCCCAGAUUCGGUUCCCAGGUGCAGACCUACACCACUCGGCUAUCAGUGGCCAUGCUGUGGUGGCAGCUCACAUACAAAAGGAGGAAGAUUGGCAACAGUUGUUAGCUCAGGGUGAAUCUUCCUCAGCAAAAAAACCCCAAAAAAACAAAAUUAAACAACAACAACAACAACCACCUACAACCAGGGGUUAUGUUAAAGAACACCAGCUGAAGGAACACCUGAUGGCUAAAGCUGGGACAGUAUUGGAUUAAAAAACAAAGAAAAAUAGAUAACUAUGAGUCCACACUGAUAUAAAAAUGACUGAAUAAAUAAAUGAACGGAGAGAAGAAACCAAUCUGUGCAGAAGAAUUCCAAAUAACGUAUGCAGACGCUCUGCCCCUAGGGAGGGGCAUAACUCUCUACUCCGUGAGCAUGGGCUGCACGGAGCGACGCCCUCCCAAACAGCACAGGAC